AGCAACGCAGGUAUGAUUGAAGACAGCGGUUGACGACCUCAGUCUGGCCGUCCGUUUCUGGAUGGUAAGCGGUAGAAAAUUUCAAAGUGGUACCUUGGAGCCUAAAAAUCUCUCGCCAGAGAUUGCUGAGAAAAAUGGGAUCGCGGUCAGAUACAAUACUUUUAGGGACACCAUGUAAGCGAACUAUUUCCACCUCAAAGCGUUGGGCGAGGUUGGCAGCAGUGAAGGAAGAAGGCAGAGCAAUGAAGUGACUGUAUUUAGUGAGACGAUCCACAAUGACCCAUAUGACUGUGUGACGAGCAGAGGAGGGCAGGUUUUACAUGCGGCAAUAAAGGCUUGAACAUGCUUGCGAAGAUGAGGCCAAGAGAAGGAGGCCGAAAUUCGGGCAAGCGUGGGUUUGACAUCGGAACGACCAGCAAGGGGUGUAGAAUGGAACUCAUGAAGAAGGUUGGAGCGCAUGGACUGGCAGUCAGGUACAAAGAUCUUUCCUCGAUAAUACAAAAGUCCUUGUUGAAUAGUAAAUAGAUGAUCUGAUGAUGCAAUUUUUUCCUUGAUGAGUUCGGAGCCUGCAUUGCUGGUGUAAAAAGUUCGGAGAUCCUAAAAAAUGCAAGGAACAGUUGUGGAGAAGGCAUGAAGAAUAACACUUGGAAGGUUAUCUUGGUGACAACGUGAUAAAGCAUCUGCCACAAGGUUCUCCUUACCAGAUUCAGUCACUGCGUGCAUCUCUCGAACAUAAACAGAUUCUUGUUGCAUCUUAGAACAAAGUUUCUUACUAAAGAAUGCAAUGGGAAGUUGAUCUUGGGAGAGCACAGCGCCUACUACCACGGAAGAAGCAUCCGUAGUGAUGUCAAAAUCUUUUGUAAAAUCUGGGAGGUGCAAGACAGGAGUCUUAGUGAUGGCAUCCUUCAAUGUUGAAAAUGCUUGUUCAGCCUGUAAAUUCCAAACAAAAGAAGUAAGUUUUAAUAAAUCUGUGAGAGGCGCUGCGAGGGAUGCAUAAUGUCGUAUAAAACAACGAUAAAAACCCGUUAAUCCCAAAAAAACCCUGAGUGUGGUGAGAGAUGUAGGAGUGGGCCAAUGUGCUAUGGCGGAUAACU